AUACAGGUUUUUUUAAAAACUACUGAGCAGACAUUUGAAAAUUAAU
rfam:Haliaeetus albicilla contig23215, whole genome shotgun sequence.